UGCCUGGGGACAUGCAGGGCCUGGGUUUACCUCCACAUAAGUGUUUCGUAGGGUCUCCUAGGAAACACUUAUCAACACUUUGUUUCCUACCCUGUCACAAUAAGUUCUCCCUGGCAUUUUCAUUCGUUGUCAUGUCAAAUAACACUGUAUUCAAAAUGCCCUCUUACAUUCUAACUAUGGAAUUAGAAUAAUCAUUCUAUUUCCAUGAUUCCAACAGUACUCCCAAGUACCACAGCAUCUUCCUGAUACCACUUAAGGCAAACAUUAGUUGUAUUAUGUGUUCCGUGAAGUGUCAAAUGCAUACUGUCAUUACUAAAGGUGUAGUUUGAAAAUAACUAGCCAGCCAGCCAGCAAGCAAUUUGUUUUGUUUUAUUUAGCCUGUGUUCUGUAGAAGUUGUUUCAGAUCUUUCUCCACACACACACACGUGUUCUUCAUUCCUCUGUGUUUGCACAUGGUUAAUCAAAGAAACCAUUUUCUUCCUCAGUGAACUCCUUGAUUGCAUUUAGAGUGAAUUUGGAGUCGGAUCUUGCAAUUAUCCUCCUCUUUUCAGAAGUCAGAAGUCAGUAUGAACUGGUUAGCAUGAGUGACGACGAUGAGGCAUACGAGAGACAAAUAACUGUCCUGGAGAAAGAAAACAGAAGGCUGAAGAAGGAGAAGGACCAGUAUCAGCACCAGUAUUGGAGCCCAGCGUCCAAAACAGACUGACAUUGGAGGAGGGAUAAUGGUUUCAGAGGCAGCGCUCCGCUACAUUGAUCAUUCACACCACCGUAAGCUUACCAAUGGCCUUCUGACGCUGUUGUUCUCAAACGAGGAGCUGGCAGAGAGCAGCCUCAGUGGAAAGAGGUGUAAUGCUCACAAGAAUGAUAAUGUCAAGAAGGGCCUUGACAUCAGACGCCUUGAGCCCAUUGUUGAAUGUCAUGGAGAAAUGUGGUGUCGGAAAAAAAGAUGUAUUCACAAUUAUCGGCAUAAACUCAAUUAUGAAGACAAGCUGUCAAAAGGACUUAUUUCAAGGAGGAGGAGGAAAUGGAUAUCAUUGAACUACUGUCCAUCAUAUAUAUAUGUAUGUAUGUACAGUGGGGCAAAAAAAGUAUUUAGUCAGCCACCACUUGUGCAAGUUCUCCCACUUAAAAAGAUGAGAGAGGCCUGUAAUAUUCAUUAUAGGUACACUUCA